AUAUCGGACUUUUUAAAGUCCAUCAAAAAUAAUACACGCGAUUUG
rfam:Glossina palpalis gambiensis isolate 146720 unplaced genomic scaffold Scaffold25, whole genome shotgun sequence.